rnacentral:rRNA from 1 species
AUUGAACGCUGGCGGCAGGCUUAACACAUGCAAGUCGAGCGGGGUGAUGGUGCUUGCACUAUCACUUAGCGGCGGACGGGUGAGUAAUGCUUAGGAAUCUGCCUAUUAGUGGGGGACAACAUCUCGAAAGGGAUGCUAAUACCGCAUACGUCCUACGGGAGAAAGCAGGGGAUCACUUGUGACCUUGCGCUAAUAGAUGAGCCUAAGUCGGAUUAGCUAGUUGGUGGGGUAAAGGCCUACCAAGGCGACGAUCUGUAGCGGGUCUGAGAGGAUGAUCCGCAACACUGGGACUGAGACCCGGCCCAGACUCCUACGGGAGGCAGCAGUGGGGAAUAUUGGACAAUGGGGGGAACCCUGAUCCAGCCAUGCCGCGUGUGUGAAGAAGGCCUUAUGGUUGUAAAGCACUUUAAGCGAGGAGGAGGCUCUUUUGGUUAAUACCCAAGAUGAGUGGACGUUACUCGCAGAAUAAGCACCGGCUAACUCUGUGCCAGCCGCCGCGGUAA